rnacentral:rRNA from 1 species
ACGGAAGGCAGCAGUGGGGAAUAUUGGGCAAUGGGGGAAACCCUGACCCAGCAACGCCGCGUGAAGGAAGAAGGCCUUCGGGCUGUAAACUUCUUUUACCAGGGACGAUAAUGACGGUACCUGGAGAAAAAGCAACGGCUAACUACGUGCCAGCAGCCGCGGUAAUACGUAGGUUGCAAGCGUUGUCCGGAUUUACUGGGUGUAAAGGGCGUGUAGGCGGAGCUGCAAGUCAGAUGUGAAAUCCCGGGGCUCAACCCCGGAACUGCAUUUGAAACUGUAGCCCUUGAGUAUCGGAGAGGCAAGCGGAAUUCCUAGUGUAGCGGUGAAAUGCGUAGAUAUUAGGAGGAACACCAGUGGCGAAGGCGGCUUGCUGGACGACAACUGACGCUGAGGCGCGAAAGCGUGGGGAGCAAACAGGAUUAGAUACCCUGGUA